rnacentral:rRNA from 1 species
UACGUAGGGUGCAAGCGUUGUCCGGAAUUAUUGGGCGUAAAGAGCUCGUAGGCGGUCUGUCGCGUCGGCUGUGAAAUCCCGGAGCUCAACUCCGGGCCUGCAGUCGAUACGGGCAGACUGGAGUUCGGCAGGGGAGACUGGAAUUCCUGGUGUAGCGGUGAAAUGCGCAGAUAUCAGGAGGAACACCGGUGGCGAAGGCGGGUCUCUGGGCCGAUACUGACGCUGAGGAGCGAAAGCGUGGGGAGCAAACAGG